rnacentral:rRNA from 1 species
ACGGGUGAGUAACGCGUGGAUAAUCUACCUCGUUCUGGGGGAUAACCCAUCGAAAGGUGGGCUAAUACCGCAUAAUCCGGCUAAUUUUAGAAUAGGUCGGCAAAGGUGGCCUCUUGAUCAAAGCUACCGGGAAGAGAUGAGUCCGCGUCCCAUUAGCUAGUUGGUAGGGUAAUGGCCUACCAAGGCGACGAUGGGUAGCUGGUCUGAGAGGACGAUCAGCCACACUGGAACUGGUACACGGUCCAGACUCCUACGGGAGGCAGCAGUGAGGAAUAUUGCGCAAUGGGGGAAGCCCUGACGCAGCGAUGCCGCGUGAGUGAAGAAGGCCUUCGGGUCGUAAAGCUCUGUCAAGUGGGAAGAAUAGCUUGUGGACGAAUAAUCCACAGGUAUGACGGUACCACUGAAGGAAGCACCGGCUAACUCCGUGCCAGCAGCCGCGGUAAGACGGAGGGUGCAAGCGUUAUUCGGAUUUAUUGGGCGUAAAGAGCGUGUAGGCGGCCGGUCAAGCCAGAUGUGAAAGCCCAGGGCUUAACCCUGGAAGUGCAUUUGGAACUGGUUGGCUUGAGUUCGGGAGAGGGAAGUGGA